rnacentral:lncRNA from 1 species
AGGAAGAGUGGUUUGUUCUUCUACAAGUGGUUGUUGGUAAUGAGUGUAGUUUGUAGCAGAGGUAGAGGAAUUGUUGAGGUUGGAAGAACAAGAAGAAGGUAGCAACAUAGUGGAGUAGUUGGUUGUGACGGUCACAGUAGGGAAAUUUUGAAUAGCAACGUUAUCUCGUGACAAAGCAACGUUAUUAUUAUUAUUGUUAAUAAUACUAUUAUUAUUAUUGUUAUGAUAAUGAUAGUUAUUAUUAUUAUUAUUAUUGUUAUUAUUAUUACCUGAUGAGGCUAAUGUUGUUGUUGUUGUAGUAGUGACACCUUUUUGUGUGGUUGCAGGUAAAGAGCAAUUCAACGAGGAAGUGUUGUUGGUUCGACGAGAAAACCUAUGAUAAUCGUUGUUGUUGUUGUUGUGAAGUUGAAGUUCCAUUUCAGAAGCCAUUCUUUUUCUGAGUAAUUUUCUUUCAGAAUGAUGAGGUUGUUGUUGUG